rnacentral:rRNA from 1 species
UAGGGAAUCUUCCACAAAUGGGCGCAAGCCUGAUGGAGCAACGCCGCGUGUGUGAUGAAGGGUUUCGGCUCGUAAAACACUGUUGUAAGAGAAGAAUGACAUUGAGAGUAACUGUUCAAUGUGUGACGGUAUCUUACCAGAAAGGAACGGCUAAAUACGUGCCAG